AUUGAACGCUGGCGGCAUGCCUUACACAUGCAAGUCGAACGGCAGCACGGGAGCAAUCCUGGUGGCGAGUGGCGAACGGGUGAGUAAAGUAUCGGAACGUGCCCAGUCGUGGGGGAUAACGUAGCGAAAGUUACGCUAAUACCGCAUACGAUCUAUGGAUGAAAGCGGGGGAUCGCAAGACCUCGCGCGAUUGGAGCGGCCGAUAUCAGAUUAGGUAGUUGGUGGGGUAAAGGCUCACCAAGCCGACGAUCUGUAGCUGGUCUGAGAGGACGACCAGCCACACUGGGACUGCGACACGGCCCAGACUCCUACGGGAGGCAGCAGUGGGGAAUUUUGGACAAUGGGCGCAAGCCUGAUCCAGCCAUUCCGCGUGCAGGAUGAAGGCGUUCGGGUUGUAAACUGCUUUUGUACAGAACGAAAAGGCUCUGGUUAAUACCCGGGGCUCAUGACGGUACUGUAAGAAUAAGCACCGGCUAACUACGUGCCAGCCGCCGCCGUAA
rnacentral:rRNA from 1 species